AGUGAGGUCCUGCGUGAUUCAGCCAAUUCGCCGCAUCGGUGAGCAUCCUCGCCCAAGUGUUCUCCGUUACGGCGCAUUAUUAUAAGUCCGCGAGUUCCAUACACUGUUAACGCACGAGGUUACCUCUCGGUGUUGGGGAACCCUGGAGGAGACGUUGUGCGUUCUUGUAGGCAGGCGGCCGAAUUUGUCUAGAGAGUGGCAAAUUCGUUAAACUUCUGAUCGUGACAACACCUCUGUGUUAUGACCCGGCCAUGUGUAUACUGCGUACAGGAAAGUCCAGCACCGCGUUGGCGCGCAACAACAUGAGUAUGUUGUUGAACGUGCCAUAGAGCGGGCUGCCCUCGUCGAGUAUUACCAUCCGACGACCACAGCCGAUCAACUUGUGCAAACGGUGGGCGGUACCCGUUAAGUUCUGUGUGAACAUCCGUCAUUCCAUCACGGCCGAUACUGGACGCAAUUUCCCCAGACCUCCGCAAAAAACUUUUGCUGUUUUUUCCAA